rnacentral:misc_RNA from 1 species
UUGAAUAAACUUGGCGGGUUGUUGCUGGCCUCAUUGGGGCAUGUGCACGCCUGUCUGUUUCUUCUUUCACCCCCCUGUGCACACUUUGUAGGCUGGAAUAACUUUCGAGGAUAACAACUCGGUUGGGGGGCUCUCUUUCACAAGAUUGCUCCUACGUUUCCUGUUCUAUGUCUUUCAUAUACACCAUUGUAUGUUAUAGAAUGAAUGAAUUGGGCCUUCACAAGCCUAUAAACUUUAAA